UGUGUGGAGCCCCGGGUUCGGCUGCAUCCUUGCGCUGCUCUGGGGAAUGGCAAGGAGAGGAAGAAAAGACAGACACACAGACACACAGAAAAGCUGGGAUCCUGUGGAGUGGACUCCGAGGGAGAAGCCCGGAAGCUCCUCACGUUGAAAAGGAAGCACCCUGACUUUGGGGGUUCCAAAGGAGCCAGUGUUACAGCCUGUUCAGGAGGAUGAAGGAGAUCACCUGUCUGGAACCCUAGUGCCACGCCCACAACGGUGUCGCCCGCAUGACAAAUGCCUUGGAUGAGGUAGUUA